rnacentral:lncRNA from 1 species
AGGCUAAUUACCAAGUCAUAAAAAAGUUCUCUUCUAUUCUUGUUUACUUUUGUGCAUUUAUUAUGUACACAUUCAAAACAUGAAUUGCCUCACAAAGAUAACCAUAACAAGGGGCCCAGUCUUCUCUGUUUAGGGAAUUGACAGGGUUAGUAGCCAAAGGUCUUUGAGGUUGCAGAAUUUCUGCAGCCCCCGAGCAAGCACAAGAGAAAAACCAUGGGCUUGA